ACAGCCAUAUCACAUUAAAAACACCAGUUCUCAUCUGAUCACCAAAGUUAAGCAACAUCCAAGCCUGGUCCAUACCUAGAUGGGUGACCACUUGGGAAUAACAGGUGCUGCA